UCUAUCACCUCCUCUUUAAAACUCCAAAAAAAUACAAACUUUUCUCUAUUCUAUUCGAUUUUAUGUAUCCGUCAUUUUGUUGUUGUCGUCAUCAUUAAACAUGAAAACGGAGCCCCUUUACCAAAUCGGAUUCUAUCUAUUCUAAAUUCCAUCUAGACUUCGCUAAAUUCGGUGGAAAAAAUUUCUUUUGUGAAAUGAUGUAUGAAAAUGGGAAAUUGCCGCUUGCCAAAAAAAAAAAAAAAAACGAUAAAUGCGGAUACGCUUGUAUGGGGCCUGCACAUGCAAGACAGUCAUCGGGAUUCAUAUGGACCAUACCCUCAUUUUAUAUGCUUAAGAUGUUUAAUCUGGACAUCUAUCUGUAUGCAAUAUCGGACAUUAAGGCUGAAUUCCAGCAGUCUUAACGGAGGCAUUGAAAAGAUGUAGUCUUUUACAGCCCAUGAAUUUUGUGCCAAAAUUCAGCUUCCAUAAACAUACAACUAUUAAGCUGAAUCUUACACUCAUAGGGACAUAAUCCCUAAAAUUUUACUUCAAUAAGGCACGAAUUGUUAUUACCAUCUGAAUACCGCUGCCGAAGUUCAUUAAAUCGAUUCAACCAUGUAAUGAUAUUACCAAUGAAAUAAAUAAAUAUUCAAUUCAAAAAAUAUA